AGUCUGCGGGGAGGCGUCCGGGCCUCGCGACGCAGCGAGCGCGCAGUCACGUAGCCACGAGCCCGCCAGCCCCUCCGCGUCGCCGCGGACCGCGCGGACUCUUGAAGGGCACCCCGUCCCGGGCCUCGCCUCACCCUCUUUGUGGUGAUGAAAGGAAAUGAUUGAUUUUACUUGGACUUGGUGAUUCUUUAAGGCCACAGUUUCCAUUUUCAACAGAGAUGGUUUUCAAAAUUCUGUUGGUGGAUGCAGCCUUCAGAAUAAGGACUAAUCAGAAGCAGGAUGUGUAAAACGGCAGAGGUGUGAACACAUGUGCCAUCCUGCCUCUCCUCCAGCAUCAAAUGGCCUGGCAGCUGCGAGGCCCUUGGGUUCUUCAGCGGACAGCUUGAAAAUCUCUGGCCUGUAGGUUAAUGGUUCCCCUGUGAGGCCGCAGUAGAGAUGCUGGCCAGCACUGCAGGCACACCCCAGGCUGGAUGAUCCCUCUUGAGAUGGCUUCAUCACCUGACGGGCCUGUUUGUCAGUGGAUUGUGUGGGCUCUGACUGAAGACUUUAAUCGAUGUGGAACUGGAUGGCAAGGAGGUAGUUUGCUCCGAAGUCUGAGUGCAUCUUCCUCACCUGCUAAGAGCUUGGGUGAAGUUUCUGCACCUAAGGGUAGCUUUCAACGACUUACUUUCUAAAUGAAUGGUGUGUAGAAGUGAUUGGCAGGUGUAAGAGACAUCACCAUGGCAACUCUUCAUAAGGGAAAUCGGCUGCUGAGCAAGUUGGAGCAGAGCUGCUGGGAUGUGAUCCAAGCAUGACACUGCUUACACAUGUUGGUCAAAAUCAUGGGGUCAGCACAGCAGCUGCUCAGUCCUCUCGACGCCUGGUUGGCUUACCAGAAGAGGCAUGCAUGAAAAGCUUCAUUGAAUUACUGAGGAUAAGCGUAACAGACGAGGUGGCCCCAAACACCAGGCGAGGCUCCUGAUGCUGACCUGAUGGUGAGCCCCUUCUCCCUGGGGCUCCGUGGCUGCUGGGCUCUGCCUCA